ACUACAACGGGUGGAGCCUGCGGUUUAAUUGGAUUCAACGCCGGAAAUCUCACCGGGGCGACAGCAAUAUGAAGGUCAGGCUGAAGACCUUACCCGAUUAGCUGAGAGGUGGUGCAUGGCCGUCGUCAGUUCGUACUGUGAAGCAUCCUGUUAAGUCAGGCAACGAGCGAGACCCACGUCCACAGUUGCCAGCAUACCCUCCGGGGUGAUGGGUACACUGUGGAGACCGCCGCUGCUAAAGCGGAGGAAGGAGUGGGCAACGGUAGGUCAGUAUGCCCCGAAUCUCCCGGGCUACACGCGGGCUACAAUGGUUGGUACAAUGGGCAUCUACCCCGAAAGGGGAAGGAAAUCUCUUAAAGCCAAUCGUAGUUCGGAUUGAGGGCUGCAACUCGCCCUCAUGAAGCUGGAAUCUGUAGUAAUCGCGUUUCAACAGAACGCGGUGAAUACGUCCCUGCUCCUU
rnacentral:rRNA from 1 species